rnacentral:rRNA from 1 species
GACGAACGCUGGCGCGCGCCUAACACAUGCAAGUCGAACGGAGAUAAGGAGGAGCUUGCGUCCACCUUAUCUGAGUGGCGGACGGGUGAGUAACGCGUGAGUAACCUGCCUUAAAGAGGGGGAUAACGUCUGGAAACGGACGCUAAUACCGCAUGACAUACGGACAUGGCAUCAUGAUCGUAUCAAAGGAGCAAUCCGCUUUAAGAUGGACUCGCGUCCAAUUAGCUAGUUGGUGAGGUAACGGCCCACCAAGGCGACGAUUGGUAGCCGGACUGAGAGGUUGAACGGCCACAUUGGGACUGAGACACGGCCCAG